GGGCCUAUGAUGUAACCCGGAUCAGCAUACUUGGCUUCGGACCAUGGUGUCAGGGUUCAAAUCCCUGUAGGCCCG
rnacentral:tRNA from 1 species